AGUGAACGCUGGCGGUAUGCCUAAUACAUGCAAGUCGAACGGACGCACAGUAAGAUCUUGCUUUUACGGGUGGCGGCUGGCGGACGGGUGAGGCGUACAUCGGCAUCUACUUUUUCGGGGGGGAUUACGUAAGGAAACUGAUGCUACUAGCGCAUACUACCUACGGGUGAAAUCAGUAGAUCAUCGGACCUUUCCCAAUUCUAUUAGCUGGAGCCGGGCCGGAUUAGCUAGUUGGUAAGGUAACGGCUUACCAAGGCAACGAUCCGUAGCUGACCUGAGAGGGUGAUCGGCCACACUGGAACUGAGACACGGUCCAGACUCCUACGGGAGGCAGCAGUAGGGAAUAUUCCACAAUGGGCGCAAGCCUGACGGAGCCACACCGCGUGAGUGAAGAAGGCCUUCGGAUCGUAAAGCUCUUUUGUUGGGAAAGAAAAGCCGUGUAAGAAUACGUCGAUGUUCUGACGGUACCCAAACAAAAAGCCCCGGCUAACUUCGUG
rnacentral:rRNA from 1 species